ACGCAACCGUCAGUUCACUCGCCGCUUUCCCCCCUUCCCUCCCUCAACUUCGGCUCAACCUUCGCGUUCGUCCGCAGGAGUUUUUAAAAUAAAAUAAAACCUCGCAAGUCCUUUCGUGUCCUGCCCGUUCAAAAUGCACAUCUAUUCAUUUAUUCAUUAAUUCGCGACACGCCGCACGGCGCCGGAUAAAUCGUUGACGCUGACCUACAGUGAGACAUGUCCACUGGAAACGUGAAUGAUGGGCCGACGUCUGAAGAUCCGGAGAUACGAGCUCAGAAAUACCUGGAGAAGCAUGGCAUAGCACACGUGAUGCGUGCCAUGACUGAACGUCUAGUCAACGAGAGACCAGAUGACCCUUUGGAGCAUCUAGCAAAACAGUUGGAGAAAAUGAUUGAAGAGAAAAAUCGAGGAAAGACCAGCUGACAUCACAGCGCUAAACUUCCACACAUUUACAUCAUCACCAUUAUUACCACCACCAGCAUAAUCACAAACAUCAUUGUCAUCAUCAUCAACAUUGCUGUUCUUGCCGUUGUCCACGCUCUAUUCACUGUGACUUGAGGACUGCUCCAUCUCCUCUAGAGUGUAUCAUUCCUCCGCAGGAGGCUCUUGGAACAGUCUUGAGACGCGGUGAUGCUUUUCUGAGUAAAUUACUGUUCUUCUUUGGUUCUUUCGGUAAAGGUACGUAGAAUGGAGAAUAAAAUACUAAAAUAAAAUAAGACAAUACAAUUCUCACGACGUUUCGGCCACAACACAAGUAG